GCAAAACGCGAAGAACCUUACCCACCUUUGACAUGUACGGAAUCCUUUAGAGAUAGAGGAGUGCUCGAAAGAGAGCCGUAACACAGGUGCUGCAUGGCUGUCGUCAGCUCGUGUCGUGAGAUGUUGGGUUAAGUCCCGCAACGAGCGCAACCCUUGCCAUUAGUUGCUACAUUUAGUUGAGCACUCUAAUGGGACUGCCGGUGACAAACCGGAGGAAGGUGGGGAUGACGUCAAGUCCUCAUGGCCCUUAUAGGUGGGGCUACACACGUCGUACAAUGGCUGGUACAAAGGGUUGCCAACCCGCGAGGGGGAGCUAAUCCCAUAAAGCCAGUCGUAGUCCGGAUCGCAGUCUGCAACUCGACUGCGUGAAGUCGGAAUCGCUAGUAAUCGUGGAUCAGAAUGUCACGGUGAAUACGUUCCCGGGUCUUGUACACACCG
rnacentral:rRNA from 1 species